rnacentral:rRNA from 1 species
CCUACGGGACGCAGCAGUGGGGAAUAUUGCACAAUGGGGGAAACCCUGAUGCAGCGACGCCGCGUGGGUGAAGGAGCGUUUCGGCGCGUAAAGCCCUCUCGGCAGGGAAGAAGAUGACGGUACCUGACCCAGAAGCCCCGGCUAACUACGUGCCAGCAGCCGCGGUAAUACGUAGGGGGCAAGCGUUAUCCGGAUUUACUGGGGGUAAAGGGGGCGCAGACGGCAAUGCAAGCCAGGAGUGAAAGCCCCGGGCCCAAACCCGGGCCUGCUCUUGGAACUCCA